AAACCAUAUGAUGCAUAUGGAUUUA
rnacentral:sRNA from 1 species